ensembl:snoRNA small nucleolar RNA ACA64
GCAGUGUGAAAAUUACCCCAGGUGUGUCUGUCAUUUUGGGUAAGAUAACUGUGCCGACAGCAAAAAGGUGCAUUAAGCUCACUGCCUGCUUGCAUGCAGUGAAACCCAUGUGCCCACAGUG